UCGGGUGGGGAUUAGUGGCGAACGGGUGAGUAACACGUGGGCAAUCUGCCCUUCACUCUGGGACAAGCCCUGGAAACGGGGUCUAAUACCGGAUACUGACCUGCCAAGGCAUCUUGGCGGGUCGAAAGCUCCGGCGGUGAAGGAUGAGCCCGCGGCCUAUCAGCUUGUUGGUGAGGUAAUGGCUCACCAAGGCGACGACGGGUAGCCGGCCUGAGAGGGCGACCGGCCACACUGGGACUGAGACACGGCCCAGACUCCUACGGGAGGCAGCAGUGGGGAAUAUUGCACAAUGGGCGAAAGCCUGAUGCAGCGACGCCGCGUGAGGGAUGACGGCCUUCGGGUUGUAAACCUCUUUCAGCAGGGAAGAAGCGAAAGUGACGGUACCUGCAGAAGAAGCGCCGGCUAACUACGUGCCAGCAGCCGCGGUAAUACGUAGGGCGCAAGCGUUGUCCGGAAUUAUUGGGCGUAAAGAGCUCGUAGGCGGCUUGUCACGUCGGUUGUGAAAGCCCGGGGCUUAACCCCGGGUCUGCAGUCGAUACGGGCAGGCUAGAGUUCGGUAGGGGAGAUCGGAAUUCCUGGUGUAGCGGUGAAAUGCGCAGAUAUCAGGAGGAACACCGGUGGCGAAGGCGGAUCUCUGGGCCGAUACUGACGCUGAGGAGCGAAAGCGUGGGGAGCGAACAGGAUUAGAUACCCUGGUAGU
rnacentral:rRNA from 1 species